rnacentral:lncRNA from 10 species
AUUGGUCAAUCUGAGGCCAAGUUUAGCAUUAUUUACAAAGAGGAAAAGAUAUUGUUACAAUGCAGAGGUCUGGAGGACUACCUUAACCAAGUGGUCAAAUUAUCAUCAUCGACAAUGGAACAAACAUAUAUGUGUCUUUAGAUGUGAAAUAAUGGGAAAAACACAAAGACUUCAAACCCGCUAAUAUAAAUAUGUUCAAAGAACAAAAGUAAAUCAUGUUUAAAGAAGUAAGGUACAACGGCAAUUUCUCAUCAAAGAGAUCUGGGGCUGUUGGGAGUGCGAUCCCAGGAGUGCUCUUCUUAGCUGUCUGUUUCCUGGAUUCUCUCUGUCAAUCUUGUGACUGAUCUGCCUUCUUGCUCACUGCUACAUUUGACCCCUGAACAACACAAGUUUGAAUUGCACAAGUCUACUUAUACACAGAAUUUUUUCAACAAGUAUAUUGGAAAGUUUUUGGAGAUUGGUGACAAUUUGGAAAACUUGUAGAUGAACUGCAUAGCCUAGAAAUAUUGAGAAAAUUAAGACAAAGUUAGAAACACUUCGUUGAACUCCUCACACCACCAUUCCAGAAGUCCUGCCUGUCCAUGGGCCAUUUCUUAUAUAUAAGGAAGAAUGAUUCAGUGGAUACAACCAAGAACUCAGAGGGUGGAGCCAAGAGCUAAGAAGAAUCAUUCCCAGAGAUCAGGACUGGGCCGUGAUGAAAGAACUAGUGAUGGAUUUCAGAAUUGCUAUGGAAUGCUAUGUGUUUCCUUGUUCCCCUCCUUUGUGAACUGAAGUGUCUACUGUGAUUAUUAAGUUUCUAACUCACCAUUGUAUGUUGGGUAUGUGGGGGCAUAUAAUUUGUUUCUUUAUUUCAUAGGUCCUGAGAUCUAGAGGCUCUGUACUCAAGGAGCUUCACUUGAGGAGCCUCAUCUCCACCUAGACCUGAUUUAGCUGAUGAAAUCCUGGUCCUCAGAUCUAAUCCUGAUGUUAAAAUAGGCUGAGACUUCUGGGGGCCUUGGGGGAAGGUGAAUGUCUUUUGCAUGUGUGAGAAAUGUAAAUAAUUUAUGGCUAGAGAGGAGAGUGUGGUAGACUUAAAAUGGCUGCAAAUUCCUUGUGGCUCCUCCCAUUGAAUCUGGACUGGCUUUAGUCACUGCUUGACUAACAGAAUACAGUAUAUGUGAUGUUGUAGAAUUUUAGUCACAAGAUCACAAAAAACCUUGAUCUUCUGCCAGGGACUUUUUGAAUGCACCUGCCAUGCUGUGAGGAAGUCCAGGUAACCACAUGGAGAACCACACAGAGACAGAAUUUGAGAUCCCCAGCUGGCAGCCCUAGUGGAGCUCCUAGCUGACACCCAACACCAAUUUGCCAGUAAUGAAGAUAAUUCAUUCUGGAAGUGGAUACUCAGUUCCAGUGGAGGCAUCGGGUGACGCUGUGUAGCGCAGAAAUGAGCCAUCCCCACCCAAAUUGCAGACUUAUGA